UACAGAGGUCUCAAGCGUUGUUCGGAUUCAUUGGGCGUAAAGGGUGCGUAGGCGGCGUGGUAAGUCGGGUGUGAAAUCUCGGAGCUUAACUCCGAAACUGCAUUCGAUACUGCCGUGCUUGAGGACUGGAGAGGAGACUGGAAUUUACGGUGUAGCGGUGAAAUGCGUAGAUAUCGUGAGGAACACCAGAGGCGAAGGCGGCUACCUGGACAAUGCUGACGCUCAGGCACGAAGCGUGGGAGCAAAGGAUGAGAAC
rnacentral:rRNA from 1 species